GAUGAACGCUAGCUACAGGCUUAACACAUGCAAGUCGAGGGGCAGCGGUAUCGAAAGCUUGCUUUCGGUAGCCGGCGACCGGCGCACGGGUGAGUAACGCGUAUCGAACCUGCCUCAUACUCGGGAAUAGCCUUGCGAAAGUAAGAUUAAUGCCCGGUGUUUUCAGAGUCCCGCAUGAGGCUUUGAACAAAGAUUUAUCGGUAUGAGAUGGCGAUGCGUCCCAUUAGCUUGUUGGCGGGGUAACGGCCCACCAAGGCAUCGAUGGGUAGGGGUUCUGAGAGGAAGGGCCCCCACAUUGGAACCGAGACACGGUCCAAACUCCUACGGGAGGCAGCAGUGAGGAAUAUUGGUCAAUGGGCGGAAGCCUGAACCAGCCAAGUAGCGUGCAGGAAGACGGCCCUCCGGGUUGUAAACUGCUUUUAGUUGGGAAUAAAACGGGGCUCGUGAGCCCCCUUGCAUGUACCAUCAGAAAAAGGACCGGCUAAUUCCGUG
rnacentral:rRNA from 1 species